rnacentral:rRNA from 1 species
GUCGAACGGGGCACCCCUGAAGGAGUUUUCGGACAACGGAUGGGACUGCUUAGUGGCGGACUGGUGAGUAACGCAUGAGGAACCUGCCUUUCGGAGGGGGACAACAGUUGGAAACGAACGCUAAUACCGCAUGAUAUUAAAGGGCUGCAUGGCCUGAUAAUCAAAGGAGCAAUCCGCUGAAAGAUGGGCUCGCGUCCGAUUAGGUAGUUGGUGAGGUAACGGCCCACCAAGCCGACGAUCGGUAGCCGGACUGAGAGGUUGAACGGCCACAUUGGGACUGAGACACGGCCCAGACUCCUACGGGAGGCAGCAGUGAGGGAUAUUGGUCAAUGGGGGAAACCCUGAACCAGCAACGCCGCGUGAGGGAAGACGGUUUUCGGAUUGUAAACCUCUGUCCUCUGUGAAGAUGAUGACGGUAGCAGAGGAGGAAGCUCCGGCUAACUACGUGCCAGCAGCCGCGGUAAUACGUAGGGAGCAAGCGUUGUCCGGAUUUACUGGGUGUAAAGGGUGCGUAGGCGGCUUAGCAAGUCAGAAGUGAAAUCCAUGGGCUUAACCCAUGAACUGCUUUUGAAACUGUUGAGCUUGAGUGGAGUAGAGGUAGGCGGAAUUCCCGGUGU